CGUUGUUCUACGCCUGUGGCGUGUCCCGGCAGCCUGGCGGCUCUAAAAUACUCAGAGAAAAUCGCGUCUUCCCUCCCGGGCGCUGAAAAUGUGGCAACACGGUGUGUCUGAGCAAUGCAAGGGAAUGUGAACGACUUUCAGAGAGAAUGGUUGUGAAUACAUUUGGUGUGUACUAAAACCUGGAAACCCCUAGAUAAAUGCAGUAUCGAUA